AAAGGGCUCUUAGGAGAAGGAUCUCUUAGGACAAGGAAUACAGAAUAUACACAGGGCUAAAGGAUGACAAGACUAAAGCUUUCUAAAUGAUGAGAUAUAAUCACCAAUUCAAACAGUUGUAAGGAGAUGGACAAACAAAAGGUCAGGAUCUCAGGGUCCUGAGAUGGAGCCCUGCAAUGGACUCCAGGCUCAGCGUGGAGUCCGCCUGAGAUUCUCUUUCCUGCCUCUGCCUCACCCCAUCGCUCAUGCGUGUGUGCCCGUGCAUGCUCUCAAAUAAAUAAACCUUAAAAAAAGGAAAAGAGGUACAAAGAAGAGAUAAGAUAUAAAUAGGAACUUCUGAAGGAACACUAGUGAUUUUUAUGAUAGGUAUAGGAGUGAGAAGAGUAUCUCAGGAUUGCAGAUCAUAAGCCUUUCAUUUCUUGCCAACGACCAGGGAUUAACAAUCAAAAAAUGGCUAUGUGAAUUUCUUAGCAAAGAGGGGAAAAGGUGAGUAUAUGUAUGCAUAAUACACCUGCAUGCAACACAUUCAUGGACUAUGAACUUGGUAUACCUAGUUCUUCCUAAGUGACAAACUGUCAUCUCUGAAUACUGAAUUGGAAAAUCAAAAUCACUGCAAGAUAUCUUAUUCCCAUUUUCUCAGCUAGACUUAGAAAUUUAGUCAAGGUCAUACAUAUUAAAAUCAGACUAUACUCCACGCUCAUUUUCACCUCUCUCAAAUUUCUACAACAAAGAUGGAAAAACUCACAAGUACCAGAAGAGCAAGAAAAUUUCCAAGGAGUAGCAUAGAAAGAAAAGUAGGAAUUACCAUUGCUAGAAUAACCAUUUCCCAAGUUCCCUGUUACAUCCAGGUACUCUACUACAUUGUUAACCUUAUAUAAAUUAAACAAUAUAUUUUAAAUUUUGCCUAGAAUUUGCUGUCCAAAUUGGACUAAGCUUACCAAAUUCAUUUAUCACUGUAUUCUCUUCAACUUCAGUGUAUAAAUUAUGACUGCUUUCUAAACUGGAACUAAGUCAAACAAUUAUGCAUAGUACAGUAUUAACUCAAAGUGUAAAAUCAAGUGAAAUUUGAAAGAUAAAAACCAGAAUCAAAUUUAUUUGGUUUAUGAAUAAACUCUGAUACAUGUACUGGGUUCUUUCAUUAAGGCAAAAACACAUUAAUUUGCAAGGUCCGCUUGUCAAUCAGCAGUCUUUAAUAAACCCCAAACACUGAACUAUAUACAAUGCAUUUGUCAAUAUUAUUUUUAAGUCUUAUUUACUUUUAAUAAACUCUUUGCAGAACAUGUUUCUAAAGAGUAAAAAUG